AUGUGGUUUGAUUUUAUCUACCUAAUUCGGCCUUUCUUUUGCAGAUUAUUUACAAAAGAAAAUGUUUUGGGCGGAAGAGUUGAAGGCCUGAAGCCAAAUGUUCCUAAUCAAGAAGAUGACCCGCACAACUCCCGUGAAACAAGGCCAAUGCUAUGUGCCAAGAUUAAGGAUCGCAAAUAUGUUUACUUUGGUCCAAUAUCGUAUAGCAGUGUAAUGCUUCAUGCAGGCACAUUUUAUCAUUCAUUUUUAUUAUUCAAAUCUCUAUGUGGUUUUCAUAGAUGCUGCUAUUACACGGAUUUAUUAAUAUUUUUCAUGUGUUGUUGA
rnacentral:rRNA from 1 species